rnacentral:lncRNA from 1 species
UCCUGAAUAGUCAAUGUUAGAAUUGUGUAAAGGUCAACUAAAAAUAGAAUUUAAACACUGUAAUGGUGUGUGUUGCCAAUAGAACAUAGGGUCAUGGCUAAGAACCGCAGUGGAAUAGACUAGAACCUUGACAAGGUUGUUCAAGGCUCUCAAAUUGGAAAUCGAGACCAGGUGGCCUCUUCAUGGUCACGAACCAGACCUCACUGACUGAGGAAGGGAAGAGAAGAGCUUGUUUGUGAAACCAUGGAGGGAGAAAUGAAGGAGACAGGAAGGCAAAGGAGCCAAGAGGGAUUCCUGGAGCAGCACAGAGCUGGAGGCUCCAUGAGGGCUAUCAGGAAAACCGAAGAACCUCCAUUCAUACCUGCCUCACGGACCCACAAGAUCUCCCCCCACCGCCCCUAUAGUCGUUUGUCAGCAGCUCGACCUGGAUGUUGGAAACCAAACUCUGGUCCCCUGCAGGAACGGAAGCACCCUCAACCCUCGCCACCUCUCCCGAGCCACCUAAUUUUUCAAAUUAGCAUAAGAUAGUAGAUACCUAUGAUAUUGCCAAACAGUGUGUUAUGAGUCUUCUUCCUCCGUCUCCCUCACUGCUAACUGCUGGUGGUAGUUCCCCUCCCCUAAGUCGCUCUUUCUUCCUUUCUUUCUUUCUUUCUUUCUUUCUUUCUUUCUUUCUUCCUUCCUUCCUUCCUUCCUUCCUUCCUUCCAUUUUCCUUUUUGGUUUUUCAAUACAGGAUUUUUCUAUGUAGCCCUGGCUGUCCUGGAACUCCCUCUGUAGAUCACGCUGGCCUUGAACUCAGAGAUUCACCUGACUCUACCUUUGGAGUGCUGGGAUUAAAGGUAUGCACCACCACCACCCAGCUAAGUCUCUCCCUUUUCUCUUCCCAUAUGCCUUUGCCCUACUCCUCAUUUUCUCUUUACCUAUUAUUACCCCUCUAGGUCUCCUCUCUACUCUUCCAGGCUUUACCCACAAUUAUAUACACAGUGUGAGCCUGUGUGUGUCUGUGUGUCUGUGUGUGUGUUUGUGUGUUUGUGUGUAUCUUGCUUCAUAUUAUACUUUCCAGAUCUAUCCAUUUUCCUUCACAUUUCCUGAUUUGAUUUUUUUACAGCUAAAUACAAUUCUACAUUUAUAGGCUAACCUCAGACCAAGUAUCAGUAUGAUGGCCAUUUUUUUUUCUUCCUCUGCUUAAAAAAUAUAAAUUCGUCUCCUGACUGAUAGCAACAUUAUAAAAUGUGUACAAUAUCUUGGGACAAACAUUCCCCAUGGAUAAAAACUCUGUCCUCGUGCGUUUCAAUGUGUGACAUCAGAAAUACUCCCUACACAAUCCCCUGUGGAACACUGUGGGUCCUAGCUCUGUAAGUGCAGUUCACAUGCACGAACUUUUUGAAUUUAACAGUAUUUAUACAUUCAGAUAUGCAACAACCAGGGAGAAAGUUUCUCCAAUUCUACAGCUAAGAAAACUCAGCAAAUUUGAGUAACUUGCCCAAAGUUACAGAAGUGCCAAGUGCCCAAAUUUGCACUAGAAAACUCGUUGACCCGCAGAGCCAGAUUGUCUCCAGACAGCCUUAAGUGAGAUAAGGAAGUAGAAACAGUAAAUCAGUUAUAGAUGAGAGCUAAGAGAAAGAUGAGGUACAGCUCAGAAAAUGAAUCACUUGAAAUUUCCCAUGCCACCAGUGAGCCCACCCCAAGUAUACUGAGACAUCACUGUCGGACGGAAAGCGAUAGCCCUCUGGGUUAUUGCUGGGCUUCUCUUCCUGAACAUAACCAAGUCCCCUGACCUCUCUAGGUCUCUAAAUCUUAGCUGCACCAGGAGAUGGUCUCUUGGGGCCCUUUCAGUUCUAAAAGAUUCCCCGAGGGUUCUCAGCAGUAGCCUACUUCCGUGCAGUGCGUCACACAGCACCAGAAGGAUGAGAUUAGAUGAUUAAUUACAAAAUUGGGUCAACUGCACCUGCAGGACCACCUGUAGGUCUGGUUUGCAGGGAGUCUACAAGGUAAAGGGAAUGGAUGUGUUACACCUACUGUGUGUGUGUGUGUGUGUGUGUGUGUGUGUGUGUGUGCGCGCGCGCGCGCGCGCGCUAAGUUCCCAAGGCAGGGAUUAUUACGUGAUUGUUGUUGCAUUCUAACAAGCGACCCCCAAACUGUGGCUCAAGAUAAUUUAUUUUAUUUACAGUCUCAGGUCAGGAAUUUGGAAAGAGUCCCGGAGUCACUUAGAGACACACUGGGGUAAAUAUCUAUAAAAUAAUACUGCAGCCAACCCAGGGAGAACAGGACCAGGGAGAGCUGAAAGGGGUAAGAGAGGGUCCUGGUGACAUCACUAGAUAUCUAGCUGGUCCAGGAAAAAUUCAGCCAAAUAGCUGGAGACACCAAAUGCUGGAGAGGACAUGGAGCAAGUGACAUUCUCCUUCAUUACUGUCAAGAGUGGAGAGGGCAGAAUCACUUCUCAGCACAGCUUAGCAGUCUCUUACAACACUCCACAAAGGCAUUCCAUGCAACCCAGAAACAGUGUGGAUUUACCCAAAUUAACCAGCAAUUUAGACCCACACAAAACCUGCAUUUCGAUCCUGAUGGCAGUUUUAUCCAGAACUUUGCAAAAUCUAGAAGCGAUCAAGAUAAGCUCCAAUUGGUGAGUGGGUCAAUAGACAAUGAUCCAGGUGUUUAAGGAAACGAUCGCCAGGUACGGUGGUUCAUACUGCAGUCCUAACACUCAGGAGGUGCCAGAGAAGAAUCGGCAUAGUGAGUUCGAGGCCCAGCUCAUUAUACAAUGGAGAGAACAAAAGGAACUGGGAUGUAGCUCAGCACGAGAGUGCUUGCCAUGAGAGUGCAUGGUCCUGGGAAAGAGACAGAGAGAAGGAGGAAGAGAGUGCAAAAGGAGAAGAGGAAGAAAGGUAGACAAGAUACUUGCCACGGUCACGGAAAAAUAGCUAAUACGGAGAAGAUUAACAUGUGGAGUCUAAUCGUGUCAUUUUUGAAUCUUGCUUCUCCAACUCUCUACAAUCAACUACCGACUUCUCUGCUCACCUGUGGUGUGGUCAUCCCUACGCCAUUCAUUUCCCGUGACGGGAUAUUAUCUGUAAAAUGCCUUAAAUUUCUAUCAGUGUUUUUUCCAUAAUCUUAGAAAAUCCAAACCCCUCAAAAAAGGCAUGAGACGCUCUCAUGAUGUGUCUCUGCCUGUCCCUCCACUUCACACUCUACCCAAUCCCAUUUUGCAACAACUGUUAGCUUUAGUUCUUCCUCUUACACCCCUACCCCUCCAGUAACCUGACAAUUAGUUCCUACUUAUCCACCUAGAUUCCAUGUCACCUUUCCUGAUGUCAUGCCUCAGGGUAUAGUCUGUCCAGACACUCACUGCCCCAACUUUAUUUAUCCAACUUCCCAACUAGAUUAUUGGCUUCAUGGGAAAGAACUCAUUCUUGGAAGGAAAUAAUCGUGAAUGAUCCUCAAGUGCUCAAGUAUACACUGAAUGAAUAAAAGUCCUCGAGUUUGGAAUCAGUACAUGGAGGUCAAGGGUGGAUCUGUCAGAGAAAGGUGGGUCUCUGUCAUUCUUUUGAGAUGCCUGUUAUUUGUUCCUUUCUCCACUGCCCAGAGGAUUUCUCAUUUGGGGUUUCAGGAGGCAUCAGAACCUACUCGGGUCAAGGAUGGCAAAGAAAUAACUUGCUCAAUACUCCAUUCUUCCCCACUUCUACGUCAUUGGCUCUAACUGGAACUCCUAGGGCUCCGGUCCUACAGUAAGGAGUUGACUGAACACCCUGUAGCAUCAUGGCUAGUCCUCUCCACCCCUUUGGAAGCUGAGCAGACAAGGCUGGAAAGGAGUAUCAGUGACAAAUGGCCAACACUGGACAGUGUUCCAGACAGAGGGCCGUGAUGGUUGAAAUAAGAAGGUCCCCCAGAGGCUCCUGUGUCCGAAUGUUUGGUCCGCCGUUAGUGGUACUCUCAAUUAGCACUGAGUUAAAGGAGACCCAGAUUCCUGCCGUUUGUUGAGGAUUUGUUGAAAUGCAACUGAAUAUCUGCCUUAGGAAAUUCCUGACCCAGUGCAUAGGUGCAUCAUGCACGAGCCGGUGCUCUGCUCGACAUCUGCUGAAAGCAGGAGCGUGGCACGGAAAAUCACCAGUGCUGAAAUGGGAUGGGCUGCGACCUGCUUGACCUCGUUCAAACCUCUGUGUCUGAGGAAGCAAAAGACGGCCAUUCUGCUCGGUAUACAGGAUGAAACAGGACAACUUACUGAGAUGCUGUGAGUUUCUAAUUUGCUUUUUGAUCCAAAAAUCAUGCCAGGGGGCCUAAUACCUAGAAUAUAUUUUUAAAAAAAUCAUAAAAAUUAAGUUCUGAAACCCAGGUCAUCCAGUCAACAAGUUGGCCAAUGAGCUGAAGAGGCAGUUUUCUAAAGAAGAAAUACAAAUGAAAAAUGAGUGCUUGAAAAAGGACUCAGCACCCCUAACCACCACAGAGGCCCACAUUAGGGUUGCUUUGAGCCUCCGUCUCACCCCAGCCGGAUGACUGUCCUGAAAACAAACAGUUAAUGCUGGCAAGUUAAUGAACAAGGAUGUCGGGUAUGCUGCUGGUGGGAAUGUAAACCUAUACAGCUACCAUGAAACUACCGCACAGGUUCCUCAGGAGACAACAAGACUGCCGCAUGACCCCGCUGUAAAUAUUCCUGGAUGUAAUAUCCAGAGGCACCGGGUCAACCUAGCACACAGACAUUUGCACGCUCGUGUUUACUGCUGCACUGUGUAUUCACGCCCGCUAAUAAGAGGAAGCAGCUGAAAUGUCUAUCAGCAGACAAGCAGAUAAAAGGCACAGUGUCCACGCAGGCACUGGGACUUUAUCGGUCAUGAAGAGGAACAAAACCAUGACGUUUGCAGCUAAGUGGAUGGAACUGGAGAUCAUUGUGUUAAGCAACAAGUAAGAUUCACAAAGACAAAUACCAUACGCUUUCAGCAGACUCUAGUUUUAAGUGUGCAUGUGUAUACCUGUGUGCACGUGUGUGUGUGUGUGUGUGUGUGUGUGUGUGUGUGUGUGUGUGUGUGAUGUGAAAGUAGAAAGAGGAAUGUGGGAUAGGCAGAGGCCUUACCGGAAGGAAGAGAGAAGGAAAAGCAGCAGGAAAAGCCACUACACUCAGGAACUCACAGCGCCAGUGUUUGCCUGUCCAACUGUGCAAGAUCAAGUCAGUCUGCAUUCUACCAUGGAGCGGGAAGGGGGUCAUACGUCUCACCUCCAUCCAAGGAGCUACGGAGAGCUCAUGGUGUGGAGAAAAGAAAGUCGUUUUUAAGGGGAGUGGCUCCUGGGAGGUGCCACAUGUCCCAUGCCCCACAUUCAGAAAUACACGGACAACACAAAUUGGAGUUAUUACAUUUUUACAAAAGAGUACAUGAAGGGUGGAUCUCAGCUGGAGGUCGGGAAAGACUUGGGGGAAAAUGCAAUCAAAAUACAUUGUAA